CCUACGGGAGGCUGCAGUGAGGAAUAUUGGUCAAUGGGCGGGAGCCUGAACCAGCCACGUCGCGUGAGGGAAGACGGUCCUAUGGAUUGUAAACCUCUUUAGGCGGGGAGCAAUGCCGGGCACGUGUGCCCGGAGGGAGAGUACCCGCAGAAUAAGCAUCGGCUAACUCCGUGCCAGUAGCCGCGGUAAUACGGAGGAUGCGAGCGUUAUCCGGAUUUAUUGGGUUAAAAGGGUGCGUAGGCGGAUUUUUAAGUCAGCGGGAAAAUGGCCGGGCGCAACCCGGGCCGGCCGUUGAAACUGGGGAUCUUGAGUGGGCGAGAAGUAUGCGGAAUGCGUGGUGUAGCGGUGAAAUGCAUAGAUAUAACGCAGAACUCCGAUGGCGAAGGCAGCACACCGGCGCCCGACUGACGCUGAGGCACGAAAGCGUGGGGAUCGAACAGGAUUAGAUACCCGUGUAGUC
rnacentral:rRNA from 1 species